rnacentral:rRNA from 1 species
UACGUAGGGGGCAAGCGUUGUCCGGAUUUACUGGGCGUAAAGAGCGCGUAGGCGGAAGCUUAAGCGGUACCUGAAAGCCCCCGGCUCAACCGGGGAAGGUGGCGCCGAACUGGGCUUCUUGAGGGCGAUAGAGGAAAGUGGAAUUCCGGGUGUAGCGGUGAAAUGCGUAGAUAUUCGGAGGAACACCAGUGGCGCGAGGCGGCUUCUGGGUCGGACCCUGACG